rnacentral:rRNA from 1 species
GAUGAACGCUAGCUACAGGCUUAACACAUGCAAGUCGAGGGGAAACGGCAUUAAGUGCUUGCACUUUUUGGACGUCGACCGGCGCACGGGUGAGUAACGCGUAUCCAACCUUCCCAUGACUAAGGGAUAACCUGCCGAAAGGCAGACUAAUACCUUAUGGUCUUCACUGACGGCAUCAGAUGUGAAGUAAAGAUUUAUCGGUUAUGGAUGGGGAUGCGUCUGAUUAGCUUGUUGGCGGGGUAACGGCCCACCAAGGCAACGAUCAGUAGGGGUUCUGAGAGGAAGGUCCCCCACAUUGGAACUGAGACACGGUCCAAACUCCUACGGGAGGCAGCAGUGAGGAAUAUUGGUCAAUGGGCGAGAGCCUGAACCAGCCAAGUAGCGUGCAGGAUGACGGCCCUAUGGGCUGUAAACUGCUUUUGUAUGGGGAUAAAGUCAAUCACGUGUGAUUGUUUGCAGGUACCAUACGAAUAAGGACCGGCUAAUUCCGUG